GGCUCCAUAGCGUAGCGGUUAGCACGUCUGCUUUACACGCAGAAGGUCCUGGGUUCGUGCCUCAGUGGAGCCA
rfam:Pteropus alecto contig6043, whole genome shotgun sequence.